rnacentral:rRNA from 1 species
UACAGAGGUCCCAAGCGUUGUUCGGAUUCACUGGGUUUAAAGGGUGCGUAGGUGGGCAGGUAAGUCAGUGGUGAAAUCUCCGAGCUUAACUCGGAAACUGCCGUUGAUACUAUUUGUCUUGAAUAUUGUGGAGGUAAGCGGAAUAUGUCAUGUAGCGGUGAAAUGCUUAGAUAUGACAUAGAACACCAAUUGCGAAGGCAGCUUACUACACAACUAUUGACGCUGAGGCACGAAAGCGUGGGGAUCAAACAGG